UCUCUCAUUAACCUCCUCCACCACCUUGCCGGCGCUAUCACCUAUACCCGCAAGCUCUCUCUCCCCUCCUUCCUCUCCAUCCCUCUUUCCAAGGCCAGCAUCGCCUUCCUCUCCGCUCACUCCCGCUACUAUCUCUCUCUCAUUAACCACCUCCACCACCUCGCCGUCGCUAUCACCUGUACCCUCAAGCUCUCUCUCUCUCUCUAGCUCUCGAGCUCUCUAAGAUCUCAGAAGAUUUCAAUCUGGCAACACAUCCUCUACAACAGGUUUUAAUCUGAAUUAAUCGCGUUAAUGGUGAGUCACUACAAUUGAAUUCUUUGUUUUCUGUUUGGGUCCUGAGAAUUUUGGGGGUUUUCAAUUUUGGGGUUUUCAAUUUUAGGGUUUUAAUUAUAGAUGGGUGGAGAUUUGGGGAUACCUGCAUUCCCUGAAGAAGACUGCAUUCUUCAAGAGUGAGAUUCGGAGGAGGUUGUUUGUGAUGGCAGUACUGAUCAAUUGUGAUUAGUCGUGUUGGUUAUUUCAUUCCUCUGCCUGGGUUUGAUAGAAGGUUAAUACCUCAGGAUCAGUUGAUGAGCUCGGUGAUUUUACAGCUGAGCUUAAAAUGUCCUUGUUCCAGCUUGGAAUCAGUCCUCAAAUUAUAGCAUCGAUUAUAAUCACUCCUCCCUCUCUCUCUCUCGUCUGUGCUUUUCUCUCUUGUCUAAUGAACUAGACGAAUGCAAUAGCUAAACAAGGUUCUUUUGCUAAAGGCUAGGAACCAGUAUACUUGGAAAGGGUUUGGGGCAAUCCCUAAUGCUUUACAGGAGCUAAAGGAAGAGGGUCUGAAAGAGAACUUCAAUACUUUCCAAGGCAAUUUCCAGGGCAAUAAUGAUCCAAAAUGUUCGCAGGGUUCAGAUGAUGAGAAAGGUGAUGAGAGUGGUCAUGCAACCGGGAGUCAGAAUGAGAACCCCAGUGUCAAUCCCAAAUCUUCAGGAGAC